UUUUGCUAACUACACCUGAUUGACUUUAUUGCACCCUCCUGUGGUGUUUUUUGCUAACUACAUCAAAUUGAUUUUAUUGUGCCCUCCUGUGGUGUUUUUUGCUAACUACAACCAAUUGACGUAAUUGCGCCCUCCUGUGGUGUUUUUUGCUAACUACACCUGAUUGACUUUAUUGCGCCCUCCUGUGGUGUUUUUUGCUAACUACACCUAAUUGACUUUAUUGCGCCCUCCUGUGGUGUUUUUUGCUAACUACAACUAAUUGACGUAAUUGCGCUCUUCUGUGGUAAUUAAAAUAAAUAAAUACAUUUUAUUUUUGCUAACUACAUCAUUACAAAUUGACUCAAAUUGUCCUCAAUAUGUUGCAUCCUUCUGUGGUGAAUUUUGUGAAAUUUAAUGAACUUUUAGUAGCUUAAGAACAUGCGGCACAAAAAAAUUUCCUAGCACAUUACCUAUGAACAAUUGUACCUAUGAACAAAACCUCACUAUGUCUUAGAAAUGUCUAGUAGUGCUUCUGCUUGUGUAUUUUAAAAAGUGACACAUAACCAGUCAUUAAAGAUCUUUAUUAACUUUACUUCUCAACUCUAAAAGUGAACACGUACAAUUAAAAUAACUGAUGGAAGCAAAUGCAUUUUAUAUGAGUUCAAAACUGAGCACAAACCUGCAUGGACGUUUCUGGUGAUGCUGAAGACCUUAAUUGGUUUCUGGUGAUGCUUAAGACCUUGAUUGGCUUCAGGUGUUUUCAAUCAGGUUGUAGUUAAACUCAAGAAAGUGGAGCAGCAGCAGGAUUAGAGACAAUUACACAAGCUUUGUGUUGUCUUCUGUGGGUCAGUGGAUAGUUGUUUGUACUUUGUGUUUGGUAAGUCUGAGUUUGAAUCCUCCAAUCACCAAUGUGCUUAUUUAUGAAGAAAUUCAGGUCCCAAAGAGUCUAAACCCCAUUUAAAACAAUGAUGUGUCCUUACAGAUUCUCUGGUGCAGUGGAUUACUGAUUAUCUUUGGAUGUUGGAAACCUUGGGUUUGAGUCCCAUCGUUGCUUAACUCUCACCUUUACAGAAAGUAAGUAGUUGUUAUAUUUUAUCCUACAGUUUAAAACACAUGCUCAUUUGUCACAGACCCAGUGGUGCUUGGGAUAAAACCUUUGAGCUUCAAACAUGAAGUUCAGGGUUCAAAGCUAAUUGUUUCUUGUUUCAAAUCAUUCCUCUCUGCAAUUAUACUCAUAAAAACCCUAAACACCAUCACAAAACAUCACCUUUGUGGUACAAUGGCUAAACACUUUCCUGUCAUGUGCAUAAAUCAGAGUUCAAACCCUGCAAAUGCAUGAUUCUUCCCUUAAAUAACACAGCUCUCAAAAAUAUAAUAACCAAAACAUUUAUUUGACCGUCAGACUCAGUGGCUCAGCAGAUAAGGAGUUCAGCUCCCACCUUUGAGACAGGGGUUCACAUCCCACUUAUGUACUGCUUUAUUAUAGUUAUUAAAAUCUCUGGGAUAUAUAAGUUUCUGACAAGACUGGGUCAGUGAAGACAUUUGUGGCUCUGUGGUAAGAGCACAUCCUUUGAAAUCUCAAUUCAUCAGGCAUAAUAUGGUUUCUAAUCCAACUGUAGCAUAGAGAACAAUUUAACUAGUUAAUUGUCCAAUCACAGCUUAGUUAAAGUCAAAUAUACCUUCCAGCAAGCAGUCAGACAGGUGAUCUGUGGCUCUGUGGUAAGAGUGUGUGGCAUGUAAUCUCAAUCCUUCAUUGAGGACAUGGGUUCCAACCUUGGCAUGAAAAGUGGCUAACUUCUUUAUUGUCACACACAAAUCGGCAGUGAAAUAUGUGUUUCCAGCAGGUGUUCAUACAAGAGACCUGUGGCUCUGUGGAAAAAGUGGCUUGUGUGAGAUCUCAAUCCUCCAGUAAAGACAUGAGGUCUAAUCCCACCUCAACAAGAAAAGAGUUUAAACUUCUUCAACUAGUUUAUUGUCCAGUCACAGCUCAGAUAGAAUCAAACAUCAGUUCCAGCAAGUAUUCAGACAGGAGAUCUGUGGCUCUGUGGUAAGAGCGCUGCCCCACGGCUUCAGGGGUUGCUGGUAUCGGUCCCAGCCAGAACUCUGCGAUAUGUGUGAAUGGCGGCAUCAGCGAGCUGCUCUUUUAGCCUGGACAAUUUGACAACAGCGACACAGAUCAUCACAGGUACACCGUUUUACUGGCGUCAAGUUGAGCUCCAGCAGAUGACAGCUCAGUGCCAGACUCAUAAUGUCAGUCAACAGCAGAUAUUACAGCCUGACAGCGAAGUCCAGAAAUGGAGAGUAACGCGACUCACCUCAGUGAAGAUACACACGUGUGUCUGUUGUGUUUCUGCUGCAGCUCUUUGACCUGUUCUCAACAGCUGACGCUCCUCCACACACUCCUCCACAUCCAGGCGGAUUCACAGCUCCAGUAAAGCUACACCGUUUCACUGGUGUAAAGUUGAGCUCCAGCAGAUGACAGCUCAGUGCCAGACUCAUAAUGUCAGUCAACAGCACAUUUUACAGCCCGACAGCGAAGAAAAGCCACACCAAGUGCAGAAAUGGAGAGUAACGCGACUCACCUCAGUGAAGAUACACACGUGUGUUUGUUGUGUUUGUGCUGCAGAUCUUUGACCUGUUUUCAACAGCUGACGCUCCUCCACACACUCCUCCACAUCCAGGCGGAUUCACAGCUCCAGUAAAGCUCACACACAGGUCAGCAGUCCAACAUCAGUUCCAGCAGGUGUUCAGACAUGGAGAUCUGUGGCUCUGUGGUAAGAGCGCUGCCCCACGGCAUCAGGGGUUGCUGGUAUCAGU